UAGUAGAGACGGGGUUUCGCCGUGUUGGCCAGGAUGGUCUUGAUCUCCUGACCUCGUGAUCCGCCCACCUCGGCCUCCCAAAGUGCUGGGAUUACUUACAGGCGUGAGCCACAGCGCCCAGCCAAGUAUAGAUAUUUAAUGAAGUGAAAUCAUACUAUCUAUAACACCGUAUGGAUCUUUUCACUUAAUAUUCUCUUGUCAGUAAAAAUCUUUCUAGAUAACUUAGAGACAGCAUAACCUCCCCUCACAUGGAUGCACUGCAGACUGUUUAACCCUUUCUUUAUUGUCAAUGAUUUAAGUGGUUUCACAUUGUCAUGCCACAUACAAUGGAAUGGGUAAUGCCAGCUCACAAUUAUUGAGCAUUUAUUAUGCACCAAUCAUUCGACAUGUAUUAACUCAUCUAAUCCUCAUGACAGUGCUAUGAUAUGCAUACAGUUAUUACGGAUACAGGUCCAGGUGAGAAAUGAAGCUCUCUUCAGAAGAUGAACAAACUUGCCCAAGUUUGGGUAAUACUACAGCAGGCCUUGAACCCAGGUUGCCUGACUCCAGAAUCCAUACUCUUAGCCACUCACAUGCUCAUGUUUUCUCCUAGCAUCUCUGAUUAUCUAUCUUAGGGUAGAAUUCGGAUAGGCAGAAUGGCAGUUCAUCAGGCUAUAUUUAUUGAGGGCUUAGUUUGUGCAUUUUCCAUGGGCUCACUGAGUUAAUCCUCAUGACUCCAAGAAGUGGUCUGUUAACUGGCCGAAGCCACGCUGGUUGGCUCCAGUAGCUAGACUCUGCCUGGAACCUCUGUGUGGUAGCCAGUCAUUAGCGGUGGUGAGGGCUACGGCCUCUCCCUGACAAGCUCACCUUGCCAGACGGUGCCCCCAUGAAUGCAAAAUGCAGUCAGAUCCCGCUAUCGGAAAGAGGUAACAAAGCGCAGUCAGGUCACGCCAUUGGAAACAGGUAACAAAGCAGUCAGGUCACACCAUCAGAAACAAACAUCAGAAACAGGUAACAAAUCACAGUUGGGUCACACCACCAGAAACAGGUAACAAAGCGUAGUCAGGUCACACCAUCGGAAAUGGGUAACGAAGCGCAGUCAUGUCACACCAUCAGAAACAGGUAACAAAGUGCAGUUGGGUCACACCACCAGAAACAACCAUCAGAAACAGGUAACAAAACACAGUCGGGUCACACCAUCAGAAACAACCAUCAGAAACAGGUAACAAAGCGCAGUCAGGUCACACCAUCGGAAACAGGUAACAAAACACAGUCGGGUCACACCAUCAGAAACAACCAUCAGAAACAGGUAACAAAGCACAGUCAGGUCACACCAUCGGAAACGGGUAACGAGGCACAGUUGGGUCACGCCAUCAGAAACAACCAUCAAAACAGGUAACAAAGUGCAGUCGGGUCAUGCCAUCAGAAACGGGUAACGAAGCGCACUCGGGUC
rnacentral:lncRNA from 1 species